AUUGAACGCUGGCGGCAGGCCUAACACAUGCAAGUCGAGCGCGAGGCGGAGGGGUGAGUAUUGUCUGGGAAACUGCCUGCUAGAGGGGGGUAACUAUUGGAAACGGUAGCUAAUACCGCAUACCCUCAGAUGUGCACAGAUGGGAUUAGCUAGUAGGUGGGGUAACGGCUCACCUCGGCGACGAUCCCUAGCUGGUCUGAGAGGAUGACCAGCCACACGGGAACUGAGACACGGUCCAGAGUCCGACGGGAGGCAGCAGUGGGGAAUAUUGCACAAUGGGCGCAAGCCUGAUGCAGCCAUGCCGCGUGUGUGAAGAAGGCCUUAGGGUUGUAAAGCACUUUCAGCGGGGAGGCGUUACCCGCAGAAGAAGCACCGGCUAACUCCGUGCCAGCAGCCGCGGUAAUUC
rnacentral:rRNA from 1 species